CCUACGGGCGGCAGCAGUGGGGAAUAUUGCACAAUGGGGGGAACCCUGAUGCAGCGACGCCGCGUGGGUGAAGGAGCGUUUCGGCGCGUAAAGCCCUAUCGGCAGGGAAGAAGAUGACGGUACCUGGCCAAGAAGCCCCGGCUAACUACGUGCCAGCAGCCGCGGUAAUACGUCGGGGGCCAGCGUUAUCCGGAUUUACUGGGUGUAAAGGGGGCGCAGACGGCAAUGCAAGCCAGGAGUGAAAGCCCGGGGCCCAACCCCGGGAAUGCUCUUGGAACUGCAUGGCUGGAGUACAGGAGGGGCAGGCGGAAUUCCUAGGUGAGCGGUGAAAUGCGUAGAUAUUAGGAGGAACACCGGUGGCGAAGGCGGCCUGCUGGACUGUGACUGACGUUGAGGCCCGAAGGCGUGGGGAGCAAACAGGAUUAGAUACCCGGGUAGUC
rnacentral:rRNA from 1 species